AGGACGAACGCUGGCGGCGUGCUUAACACAUGCAAGUCGAACGGUGAACUCCCUUCGGGAGGAAUCAGUGGCGAACGGGUGAGUAACACGUGAGCAACCUGCCCCUGGCACUGGGAUAACCCCGGGAACCGGAGCUAAUACCGGAUACGAGACCACGUGGCAUCACGAGGUCUGGAAAGUUUUCGGCCAGGGAUGGGCUCGCGGCCUAUCAGCUUGUUGGUGAGGUAACGGCCCACCAAGGCGACGACGGGUA
rnacentral:rRNA from 1 species